UAUUUCACUUCGGCCACAACGGAGCUGCAGAACCGACGCGUCGGAAUCAUGGCCGACCCACUUCUCGUCCCCUUCUUCCCAACUCCAUUAUCCUUCCCCGCCUACUCCUUUACUUUCCUUAUUAGGAGAAGCUAAACUUCCCCCCUGACUCUGACCCUUUCUUUCCUUUCUUGAUUCAAUCGAUCGAUUGCCUGUCUUUGCUUCCUUGAUGCUUCUGAGAGAUGGCGUCCGUCCGUCGAACUCUCACGGCGGCCAACAACAUCGACGACGAUCGAUCCUUACACACUCACGCCCUCCCUUAUCGUAACACCGGCCGCCAUCACCCCCUCGCUUCUUCUUCCUCCUCCUCCUCUUCUUCGUCUUCUCCUUCCUACUCUUUCCUCGCGGUGCGCCGGAUCUUCGCCGGCGGAUUCCUCCGGAAGUCCUCCCGUGGCAAGCUGCCGGCGCCGCCGCCGCAGCGCCACCAUCCGUGGAAGAGGAACCUCUUUCGCUUGUUCGUCUUCUUCCUCCUCGGCUUCCUGUUCGGACUUUACCCGUUCGUCGAGCUUGAUGACUUUGGCUUGCGGCCCCACCACUUCUUCGAUUCCUCCUCCGCUUCCAUUAUCAGUAGCAACAACCUUCCGCGCCGUGAUCUCGCCGCGGUCGUCCGCUCUGGACCCAGCGAGAUCGAGCUCGUGCGAUCCGACGACGGCAACCGGCACUCGGAAGCGGAGCCCCCGCCGAAUGAUCACCCGGAGCCCACGCCCAAGAGGAAGCUGCUGAUCGUCGUGACCCCCACGUACAACCGCGCCUUCCAGAGCUACUACUUGACCCGGCUGGGCCAGACGCUGCGGCUCGUGCCGCCGCCCCUCCUCUGGAUCGUGGUGGAGAUGAACUCUGCCUCUAUGGAGACGGCGGAGAUUCUCAUGGGCACCGGCGCCAUGUACAGGCAUCUCGUUUGCAAGAAGAACUCGACUAACAUCAAGGACAGAGGCGUCCUCCAGCGGAACACCGCGCUCGAGCACAUCGAGCGGCAUCGUCUGGAUGGGAUCGUGUACUUUGCCGACGACGACAACAUCUACUCACUCGAGUUGUUCGAGCGAUUGAGAGAGAUCAGGAGAUUUGGUGUUUGGCCUGUUGCAAUGCUUUCUCAAGGCAAAAAUAAGGCGAUACUAGAAGGCCCAGUUUGCAAUGGAAGCCAAGUAAUUGGAUGGCACACUAAUGAGAAAAGCAAGAGACUUAGGAGAUUUCAUGUUGAUAUGUCUGGAUUUGCAUUCAAUAGCACCAUACUUUGGGACCACAAGAGAUGGCAUCGUCCAAACUCAGAUGCCAUUAGGCAACUAGACACGGUGAAAGAAGGUUUUCAGGAGACCACAUUCAUAGAGCAGAUAGUAGAGGAUGAAAGUCAAAUGGAAGGCUUACCAAAUGAUUGCCCGAGAAUCAUGAAUUGGCACCUCCAUUUAGAAGCUAAAGAUCUUGUUUACCCUAAAGGGUGGCAAGUGUCAAGAAACCUUGAUGCUAUUAUUCGUUUAACAUAGAACAUGCAGCUUUCACAAGAUCGAAGUUUACAUGCUGGGACAUUCAACCAUGUUUGUCACUAGUAGAGAGUGGUGUAAUGCAUGUCCUAUCAUGGAUCAUGCCACUAAGCUACCCUUGGCAUCGCCUACACUGAUAAAGCAGAUAAGCAAUUGGCGAGGACGUAUACAGACCCGGUGAUCCAUAUCAGAGAUUUACAUGAGGGAAGGAGAUUUAAUUGUAUUGAAAAGGAAGCAAUAUUGAAGCAUACAUCGAAGGAAAGUUACAAGUUGGGUGAUGUUAUGAAUUUGUUUAGUCACUUUUAGUGCCCUAGCUGCAAAUGUCUGGAUAAGUAUGAUAAUCUGAAUGAAAAAAAAUUAAAUACUUGGAUUAAAACGUUACUUUAUUAAUUGGUGUAAGUUGCUCGUUUAGGAGGCCAGGUGACACCAGGCCUACUGACCCUGCUGCCCGAGUUGUAUAGGCUUGAUAAUGGACUAUGAUUAAGGCACAUAAUUCCAGCCAGGAAAGCACUUUGCAUGGGACGUUUGCUUGCGGGUGCGUUCUUGAAUGCAAAUCAAUUUUCAUAUCAUAGCGGCUGCUCGAGGACGGGGCAGCACCACCAAGAUUGCAUCAUAUUUACAAAAACAUUCAACAUUCUUUCAAGGCUAGAGACCACCAUAAAUGUUAUACUGCUUCAUAUUCGAGGAGAAGCCAGGCGUCUAUACCCAUUUUUGUACAGACUCACCAUGGGAAGGAUAUCAUCAGUCAUGAUUUUGUUAGAUGCUGCUUUUUCAUUUUCUUUUUAACCCCCUCCUUUUCUUCUAAGAAGGUGUCAUCCAGCAUCAAUUUUUUUGUGCUUCA